CUCGAGGACGAACGCUGGCGGCGUGCUUAACACAUGCAAGUCGAGCGAUGAAGCACCUUCGGGUGUGAAUUAGCGGCGAACGGGUGAGGAACACGUGAGGAAUCUGCCUUCUACGCUGGGAUAACUCCGGGAAACCGGGGCUAAUACCGGAUAUGAAACUUGGUGGCAUCACCGAGUUUGGAAAGUUUUUCGGUAGAAGAUGACCUCGCGGCCUAUCAGCUUGUUGGUGAGGUAAUAGCUCACCAAGGCGACGACGGGUAGCCGGCCUGAGAGGGCGACCGGCCACACUGGGACUGAGACACGGCCCAGACUCCUACGGGAGGCAGCAGUGGGGAAUAUUGGGCAAUGGAGGAAACUCUGACCCAGCGACGCCGCGUGCGGGAUGAAGGCCUUCGGGUUGUAAACCGCUUUCAGUAGGGAAGAAGCGAAAGUGACGGUACCUACAGAAGAAGCACCGGCUAACUAUGUG
rnacentral:rRNA from 1 species